rnacentral:misc_RNA from 1 species
CAAUACUUGAACUUUGACAGGAAAGAGUUAAAAAAUAAACUAACAAAAACUUUAUAAGAUUUAAUAUAUAUGUCAAAGGAAUUAAUUAAAUUCUAUUAAGGUAUAAAAAAUAUUUGUCAGAAAUAUAUUACCUGACUAUAUUUACUACGUUCUUCCAAGAGUACAUAAAGCGCUCUGACUAUUUCAUUGUCUUGUGAUAAAGUAGUGGCAAAAGUAUGGAGCUCUGACGAUGACACAUCUGCACAAUCUACUAGCCAUUCAUUUAUUAAACUUUCCGUCAUUUUUAUUUUCCUUUUGCCUUUACCUCCAUGUCUUCAUCGAACGGCAUACAAUUCUCACUUUUAAGGCUGACACUUGUAACUUUGUAACCACGGUCGCUUGUGAGAUGAAUUGCUAACAACUAGAUAGGUAUGUAUCAUUGUCAUAAAUGUACAAGAGAAUCUACUCAUUUUUGAUUGGAUAAAAACUUUAAAUUAUUUAGAAUUAACGAAACUGAGAUAUAAAUGUUGAAUAAAUAUACAGUUAUGAUUUUUAUAAUACUUACAUAAACCUCCAAUUUUUUCAUAAUAAUUCUAUAAUUAUAAAAAAUAUGUUUUCAAAUAGCCCUGUUCAAGAUUAUCGCAUACAUAAGAAUUUACCCAGAGUCGGCAAAAAAUGAAUGUUCAGCUUCAAACUUAACAUUCAUACUUUUGGAUCAUUUUAAACAUUACUGGUACUCACGCUGGUGAUUCACAAAGAUGUUUAAAAUGAGGUUUGAAAAUUAUUUAUUAAAAACUGAAGCGGCCACAUAAGUUGGUCAAAAAAUUAAUGGAAAAUUAUAAAGAUGUAAAGUAAAAGUUUUAGAAUGUCAUUUUAUCCUUUCUCAACUUCUACAAAUAUUAACACAA